UUUUAAAAAAUUUCAUCCAUUUUUACUUUUAAAAACUAACGUAACCGACAGAUUAAUCAAGCAAUUACACGUGGCAUAUCACAUGUACCUCGUUCUAACAUACAAGGACUAGUUUUUAACAAUAAAAAUUUGAUGAAAUUUUUAACA
rfam:Gossypium hirsutum cultivar TM-1 unplaced genomic scaffold scaffold2318.1, whole genome shotgun sequence